UACGUAGGGGGCAAGCGUUGUCCGGAUUUAUUGGGCGUAAAGCGCUCGUAGGCGGCUCGAUGCGUCGUGCGUGAAACACCCCGGCUCAACUGGGGAGGGUCGUGCGAUACGGUCGGGCUUGAGGCCAGUAGGGGGAUGCGGAAUUCCGGGUGUAGUGGUGGAAUGCGUAGAGAUCCGGAGGAACACCAGCGGCGAAGGCGGCAUCCUGGACUGGUACUGACGCUCAGCCACGAAAGCAUGGGGAGCGAACGGG
rnacentral:rRNA from 1 species